CAUGUGUGUAUGUGUGUGGGGAUGUAUACAUAAAUGUGUUUUUAUGUAUAUAUAUAUACACACACACACAUAC
rnacentral:miRNA from 1 species